AAGAAACUGAUGCUCCUUCCAGCUGAAUCUAAAUUCUGAGAAGCCAAGGGGGGUUGAAUGUACUGCAGCCAUUUUUCUUACAGUGUCAGCAACUGAAGUCUAUACAGGAAAAAGCACAACUGAUCCACAGGGAGAAACUGAGUCCUGAUGACAUCACCUGACCCUGAAUCCAGCUCUGGCUAGUGGUGCCUGGACUUCAAAGUUAGGUUUUACAGGCAAGAAUGGAGUCUCAGAAAGAACCUCUCCAAAUGGAACAAUGAUUGAGCUCACUUGGCACAAAAUGUAAAAUACUUUUGAAGAAUUCCAUCAUAGCUAGAUGGUUGGUCCAGAACCAAAAGUAAAUGCUGGAAGAAAAAUGAAAUCAAUCUUUCUACUCCAAACCUCUGUCUGUGACAGUAAAAGAACCACCAGGCCACCUUGAAAUCAAGUCAUGAAAUAUACUUUUAGUUUAAAAAUCAGUUGUAUUCCUCAAAUUAGCAUCUCUUGUUAAUGUAGUUAUGGUCUUCUUUGAUCUCAAAGACCAAUCCUUUGUAAUAGACCGACUUUAAGCAAAAGUAAACUGAUCAAAUAGCAGGAUGUCACAGUAGUAAACUAAAAUUUCUUCAAUCUAAAUUCAAGAUGAUUUCUCCAUCUCUGUCUUACACAUUUGCCUGUUAGAAAAAAAA